UCUAACGUAGAGGCAAUGAAAUUGUUGUCUUGUUCUGUCCCAAAAUUAUGCUGCUGCUUCUGCUAGGUGUUUGAGAGAACUAGUAGAUAUUUUUCAGUGCAUGGAGGACUGCAAGAGAAUUCUUCCAAUUUUUCAUAAUGUGAGAUAUCAGAAAGGAGUUUUGGAGAAACUUUGGAUAACCAUGAAAGGAUGUCUGUGCGAUACGAAUCUGAGAAGGUCCAGUGGAGAGAUGCUUUAACAAUAGUGGCCAGUUUGGUUGAGUGCGUGGGAUUAACAUAAUUACAAUAAAGUACAACCUAUUGAAAUCAACACGAGAGAUUUUGAAGCAUCGGAACCACCAAUUAUUGAAACUGAGCCUACAAUAUCGGAAUCAAAUGAAGAAUUUGAAGUACUUGAAGCAAGACGACGAGCUACUAAUGUGACUGAAUAUUUUGAACUAGUAGAAGCAACCACACAAACCACUAACGGAAACUGUGAGUUACUCGAUUUUUAGCUCUCUAUUGUCACUUCCUUAUGAUCU